CAGCCACUUCCUGCCGGUGCCAGCUCUGUUCCACACCACCACGUCGGCCACUGUCUUCCCAGCCAUCGUCCCCGGCCACUUCCACACCCUCGCCAGCUCUGCCCUGUUCCAGCCUUCCAGGAUCCAGCUUCUAGCCUAGCUGUCGUUGGAGCCAUUCACACAACCACUUUGGCCAAGCUCUCUGCUAAAAGGCAAGAAGUUCUUUCUCCAGCAGGCAACAUUGUUGAACAGAGACGCUAGGGCAACUCUUUGGGCCUAAUACAACUAUCUUUUUGGCUGGCGAGCUUCGAAAUGAUGCCAUUCUUGAGUACUUCCUAGAAGCUGCAGUGAACAAUUUCAGAAUUGGUCGCAUUGAUCAAAAUCUGUGGCAUCCUGAUUAUCGCAGCAACCGAGUUGUUCUUUAUGUUCUUGUGAAGAAAUGAAGGUUUCAGAAUUAAUGAAACUAUGUUACUUUAUAGUUUAUACUCUACUAGAGUGUGACCCUCCUACGCUAGGAUUCAUUGUAAAAGUUAUUCUCCUUCCAUGUAUUAUUUUUUGAUAUCAUGCUCAUUUUGAGAAGCCUAACAAUUUUGUUUUGACAGAUAAAAGUGGACUAUGAUCUGUGAACCAAUUUCAGUGAAUUCAUUCACAACCACUGUUAAGAAGACAUAAUUUUGUAAUGCUUGAUGGAACAACUAAAACUCCAAUUCUUGCUUGGUUAUCAUCAAAGGAUAAUCUCUGAAUCCAAAAUAUUUAAUAUAGAACAAAGGCUACUUAAA